rnacentral:lncRNA from 1 species
AGUCGGACGAGUCGAAUCGCAAAAAAACGCAACCGGAAGGAAAUUAUCGUCCAAUAAGUUAUCAAGAAGCAGCAAGAGCAGGCUGGACUCUUCUUCCCUAGAUUUGCACAGAUUUACGCGCCCUGUGCAUGAGAUCGUUAAGGGAAUUAUAAACCCCAAGAGCGUAAGGAGAGAGAGACAGAGACAGAGACAGAGAUCAUACCCCAAUAUCUUGGCUUGGCCAUCAAAAUUGCGUGUUUCAAAUCAAAAUUGCAUAAUCUCGGAAAUCCUGGAACGAGUUCGCGUUCUUCAACAGAUCCAAGAAGAGAUUACCCGCGCUCUAGAAGCUGCUGUUGUCGCCGCGUAAUCGCAGUAGCAAAGAUUUCGAGUUGCGCUUCCUUUGAGCCUAGCCACGUUCUCUAUGCCCUGGCCUUAUCGCCAGUUGGCCAUCUAAAGUUGCCAGUUUUGCGGAUCGCAGUCGGACUUGAGCGCGCGCGUGCGUCGCCGUUUGCCUUUUGGGCCCGCCUCGUAAUUAAUUACAAACGCAGUCGCACUUCCCGCUUUCCCCGUACUCAACUCUGGCCGGCACAUCUCCUCUGAGGAAAGCUCAGAGACGCGACGCUUCUCCUGUUAAAUCUUGAUUCUUUUGGGUUUUACGCUGUGGAGGCUUGCGUGCGCAGACACUGGCAUCGACGACAUCUGAUUGCCUUUUUAUGGCUGGUAAGUAGCUUUGGCUCUGCGCCUAUGGCCCAGGCUCAUACUUCGACAUCGCUAAACAAGUAUAUUAAUGGUUAAGCUGGGCGAUUGGGGGUUCCAACAUUCGUUUGGCGGCUUUGGGUUAUUGCAUCUAAUGGCUUUUAAUUCAACUCAAUAUUGGGCAUUGUUUGGUCAAGGAAACUGGUGGCACAUAGGGAUUGUUGGCUCAGAGCGAAAGAGGGUUUCCCCCUUUUAAUCUUAUUUUUGUUCAUAAAACUAAAUUAUGGAAUUAUGAAUAUGAUUGUGGAUUCUUAAGGAUCCAUUAAUCGCAAUCAUUUUAUGGUGGACCACAAUUAAGAAAUUAGAACAUAAAAAUGUGCAUUCAAAUUGGGCUGGCUGCACAUUUUCCAGUGUUGGUACAUACAUAAAUGUUUAAUGAAUGUGAAACUAACGUAAAGUAAACGUUAAUGGCAGGGUUAGUCGUGGAUGUCAGCCUUUCAAGGUUUUCUUUAUGUUUACAAACCAAAAAUGUGAGCUAUCCUCAACUAAGACAAUGAGCCAGUGUUGGUAAACACACCAUUUAUCACAAAUCCAUUUCAAAGAACUUAGUUUUCAAAAUUAAAGAAAUAUCAGUUGUUAUCUAUUGUUUAGAGUUGGAAAGUUCUAUACAAAUAAAAGCUUUACCAGUCUUGGUUAAUUUUUAGGCAGUGUUGGUGAACACUUUUAGUUAGCAAUAACAUUUGCCAUUCUUUUAUAGUGUUGUGUGUUGGUAAAUCUCUUUAUAAUAGGAAGCGGAACAGUGUUGGCUUUUAUCCACUGAAUUUAGAACUGAACGACGAAUUUUGUUUACUUCUUAAACUAUUUUGACUGAAUGAACCACCAAAGAAUAUAUACAUAUAAAAUAAACACUGAAAACCACGCCUGAAUCAGAGCUUAUUAAAUCCUUUUCAAUUCCCCUGGCGAAUAUCCUUCAAAUAUGAAACCAGAAAUGACAUUUGAAAAUGGAUUCCUUUGCCGUUUGCCCACUCACAAAAGAUUUUCGUUGGCAACCGAGUGACAUAUGAAUGAAUCAAAUCAAUUAGCGUGUUGCCCACAUUUAAAGGUUAAAAGCCGCACAGACAAGUGCCUGCCAGCUCCUGUUGAUAUUGCUGUUGCUCAGGGGGUGCUGGCUGGGAAAGGUCAAUCGGCAAAACGGGCAGCAGCCAAGCCACCAAAAGGCUUCAACAAAUAACAAACUUCGUUGGCUAAUUAAGCGCUGCCACAGUAACAGAACGAAGUUGAAGCAAAAACUCGACAAUUGUGCUGCUAAAAUGGGAGUCGCAGGUGACAUUUGAGAGAAUCCCAGAGGAGCUGGAGGCAGCAGGCAGUCAAUCAGUCAGGCAGCAGGACCUCGUCCGCCAUUCACAAAAAAUAUCAAAGUUCAAACGGACAUUAAAAGCUGUACCUUUUUCUCAUACUCUCUUCUCUCGUUGCCCGCUCUCUCAAACUCUCAAUUUUGGAAACUCGCUCUCCUGAAACCUUAGCAUUUCCAUGAAUGAAAUUCGAGGAAAACAACAUUUUCACCCAGUGACGUCACAUAGAGCUUUCAUUUCAUUGAUAAGCUUGCCAGCUCUAUUCAUUCAUGAAGUUUUUCAAAUGAAUUGGCCACCGAACGUAACGGUCUCUACUCUACUUCGGUUUUUUCUUUCCAUUUUCGGCUGCCAUUUACCGCCAUUUUCAUGCUGCCGUCGUUGGCAGAGGGGAGAGCAACAGAUGUGGCGGGAGCCAGCCCCCACCCAAUGACAACCCACACACGUGCCGUGCCCCACAGAGAGUCAAAGUGGAAGCCGGCAAAAGGGCAAAGUACCAAACAUCCUGUAUCUAUGCUCCCUGGCUGAGGCUCCUGUCAAGUGGAAACUUCGUGUAGCCACCACAGUGGAGCAAAGAUUGAUGAUUACCUGGGGAAGAUAAGAGAGGAAAGAGAGUUAGAUUUAGGGGAAUUUGUUUAUAAAUAAAACUAAAAAUAUUUAUGGUUGACUUAAGACUGUUUUUCCAAGGGAAUUCUUCUGAAGAGUUCAAGAAAGUGCAUUAAAGAAACUUUUUCUGUCACUUUUUCCACCAACUUCUGGUAGAAUGGAAAUCUCCAAUCACUUUCCACCCCUAGAAAUCUCUUCCCUAUUUCCCAUAUUCUCCUAUCCCACACCAUUGUGCAAUAUUCGCUUCCUAGAACUCAGUGGCUGCUGCUACUGCUACUGCCCCCGGGCAGCCCUGUUUCCCUUCUUGUCUGCUGUUUCUCCCUCCCGGCUGCUGCUUCAGUCAAUGCCAACACUGACAAUGUGGGGGCGUUUAAUCGCAUCUAUUAGCAUCGUAGUCGAGAGCGUUUUCUUACACGCCCCCGCACUCGUUCCGUUUGAUUAUUUCCACUAGAAAAUUGGAAGUUGAAAACAACAAAAUUUCCAUCGUUAAAGACGCCCAAACGCAAAACGGACAAAAUAAGCAACAAGUUUUUUGAUAACCUUAAUGGACUAAGGAAACCCAAAAAUGUCCUGCCUUCUUCCUUGAUUAUCUUCCCACCUGCUUGCCUACUCAAUGUCUUCAUUGCUGUCCAGGACUUCAUCUCUGGCGAGGUUUUCAUCUGUCUCGAGUUCUUGUAUCUCUCAAUUGGUGGCCAUUUCCUUUCAUUAUUAGGUGUAUUAUUAUUAUUAUUAUUGCUGUUAAUGUUCUGGUUGCUAUUUUGAGGUUCUUGAAGGGAGGGUAUAUUGGCUUUGAGCAGGUGUUUGUGGGACAAGGCUAUUGCUUUUGCAAUAAUCGUAAAUCUUCCAAUAUAUCAAUGUCUGUCUUAUUAAAAGUAGACUUUAAAUUUUGUAUGCAUUCGUAUCUGCAUUAAAACUGUAGUAGAACUUUUCUCAUUGACAAAUUAAGUUUCCUAGCAUAUAUCCAUAUCUUUCAUGGCCUUUUCUCUCUUUCCCAGUGUGGCUUAGCAGUAACGCAUAAAAACUUACUAUUUUCCUAUAUACUUUAUCGUGUACCUGCUUAAGUUCAUUUCAAACUUCAAUUUCUUUCAAUUUCUUCAAUGCUCUGGAAAAUUAUAUUAUUAUAAAGGUAGAAGGGUAUUCAAAACCAUUCGUAUCCUUCCCAGCUAACAACUCCCACUUGUUCCUUUUUUUCUGUUGUUUUUGUAGAUUAAAUUGUAGCAUUUGGUGAUGUUGCUGCUCCUUGCUCUUUUUGAUUGAUGCUUAACCUCUAACCUUUAAAUGUCAUACCAUUCCGGGAAAACGGAGACAUACAGACACACAGGGAGAGAUUGAGAACGAGAGAACUAGAAAGAGCGAGGGAGAGUGUGUGCAACACUCUAAUUGCCAUUUGUUGAUGCUUUUGUGGGCGUCUCAGGCUACGUUUUGCAUGUCCACCGACUCUGUUUAGUUAACUUUUCAACAAGUUUCAGCAAACGCCUUUCGGGAUUUUGGGGAAUUUUAUUUAGUGUGCUCCAAAAUGUCAGUCAUCGAAUCAAAUAUCAAAUAAGUGGAGUAUUCCCUGCACAACAUGCAAACUUCAUUAGGAGACAUUUACUGGCGCACAUCGUUGCGUAUGAUUAAUCAUAAAUUACUCAUACGGCCCAUGGAACGUGCGUGGAAUGACGCCAAUCGGCGGGUUUGUUUUCUUCGAGAGUGAAAGCUAAUGCCUUAUCUGAUAGAUAAGGAUAAUAAUACAACUAUCACGUAGUUUUAUUCUUUUGACAUUUUUUCACGGCAUUUUUGCUUUCCAUUUUCAUUCACUCUCAUCGAUGCUCAAUGGCUCUCUCACACUCUCUCUCUUGCGCUUUGCGAGAGCCACCCACAAUUGUUGUUGACUUUUCCUCUGCCAACGGAAUCGGAAAUGCUGCUUUCCUCCCACACAGAGACACAGUGAGAGAGAGGGAGAGUGAGUGAGAGCGAGGUGCCCAUACAAAGAAUCAACAGCUACACGCAGGCAGAGACAGAGGCAGUGGCAGAGACAGAGCGACACCGACAGAGAGCUCGGGAAAAGCUAAAUACAAAUUUCACAGGCAUUUUCCGACACAUUUCCGACGCCUCCGAUGCUGAUGCUGCUGCCGCUGCCAUCGACGCCGACGCACAAGUACAACAGCGGCGCAGCCGAUUUGCCGCUGUUUUCAUCAUGUUUUCUUCUGUGUUUUGCUUCCUUUUUUUUUUGGUUGUUUUGUGUGUGUUUUUACCGAUGCCCGAGUUUUCCCAAUUUCAUUUUCAAUUUUCACCGCUCGUGCCAGUAGCGCAUUGACGGCUCAGCGGCUCGUCUCGCCACUUUUUUGGGCAACCCAAAAAUCACACAAAACAAUCAGAAACAAAAAUCAAAACAAAUUUUCGCGCGCGUAACAAAAAUCUUAACGAAAUUUACAAAGAUUUACUAAAAUUAUACCAAAACAAAGAACCCAAUAUUAAAAGAAAAAUGUGACAAAGCAGAAAGGAAAAGUGCUAGAUAAAUAUCAAAAGAAAAUAAAAGUGAAAGAAAAUGUUCAAUAGGAAAGAGAGCAGUGGGAAAAUUAUCAAAAGAAAACAAAAUUAAUUGCCGCCGGCAAAUGAAAGAAAUGAAGGAAAAUCAUGUUUGAGAAAUUUCUAUGGCUUUAAAGCAUUUUUUUCUGCAAAACGUUUUUGAAAUUAAAUAAAAAUAUUUAAAUAGAUUUGAAAAUAUUUAAAUACAUUUUUAGUCCCAAUAUAAAUGUGUAUUUUUAAUGGUCAAUUUUAGGCUGUAGAUUUUAUUCUAAUGAUAAAUUAUCAGUGUCUUGAUGUGUCUUUUAACGUGUAACUAUUUAUCUACUGUAGUGUGGGUUUUACUGUAGUGUGAUUUUACUGUAGUGUGGUUUUACUGUAGUCAUCAAUAAAAUUAAAUUUUAUAAAUGUUUUACGUGCUUGAAUAUUAAGUGAUAAAUUAAUUUGGAAUCAAAGGUGAAAAAAUUCAUUUUUUCCCCCAAGAGAAAAUUGAGUUGAAAAAUUUAAAAGAGUUUAAAAAAAUCAAAUGAAUAAUUUAAUUCAAAGAAAAGGUAAGCAUGCCGAACUGUAACUAAAUAUUCUAUUAUUUUUACUAUGAAUAAUUACAGUUGGAAUAUUUUGUAUGAUUAUUUUAAGAUUUAUUUUUCAUAAUUUAAAAAAUUCAUAUUUUAAAUUAAUUUAUUUCAGAUUUUUUUCAAGCUUCCUUCAAUAUCAAUCAAUCAAAAGGAAUAAUCAAUUCAAUCGAGAAAGACUGAUUUGACCAACCAUAAAAAUCAUUAAAAAUAAGAGCGAAAAAGCGCAACAAUUGAAACGUUAAGAAAGUCUAAUUAAAAAAAAAUACCAAGAGAAGUGAACAAAAGUGCAACAAAUUUAAAAUAAAAGUUAGCACAAUAUGUG